UACGGAGGGGGCUAGCGUUGUUCGGAAUUACUGGGCGUAAAGCGCACGUAGGCGGAUUGGAAAGUUGGGGGUGAAAUCCCGGGGCUCAACCCCGGAACUGCCUUCAAAACUCCCAGUCUGGAGGUCGAGAGAGGUGAGUGGAAUUCCGAGUGUAGAGGUGAAAUUCGUAGAUAUUCGGAGGAACACCAGUGGCGAAGGCGGCUCACUGGCUCGAUACUGACGCUGAGGCGCGAAAGCUAGGGGAGCAAACGGG
rnacentral:rRNA from 1 species